AUGAGCCUUUCUUCCUGCACUAAGCCCUGAGAGCGGGGUGGACUAUUUUGAAAGCGAAGUACAAAGAAAUGGCCGUGUAAUUCAGAAGUUGACACUGAGUUCAAGGUAAAGUCUCAGUUUUUCUCUCUUAAAACUAUUCUCUGAAAAGAAUUGUUUAUAAAACGUUCAGGGGAGGAGCUGGUUUCCCCAGUGCCUUUCCCUUCCUCUCAUUUUCCUUCUGUUUCACAAGUAUGUAUUCUGCUCAUUUGCUCACUCAUCCAUUUAUUUAUUCAGUAAACAUUUUAGAGUACCCACUGAAUGCUGUGCCUUGGAAUAGGUGUUGGGGAUGCUACCCAUAAUCCCCAUCAUUGAAUUGAUAUUAGGGACUGAGGACAGCAUGUGUCUUUUCUGUUUCUCUCUCUGUUAUCCUCACCUACACAUAGAUGGUUGCAUAUAUUUAUGUGUUGUAUAGGCAUAUUCACGGUACAGGAGAUAAUCACAACUACUGCAGAAAGUAGUCAUAAGCAUGAAGUCUGGAGGGCAAGUGAUAACACUUCACUUUAACAUCGGACAUGUUUUGAGGGACCCAGGUCCAUGACGUAGCCAGACUCUGAGCCAGACAGAGGGAAAAGUUCCAUAUCUCUGUGUGUGGUGGGAUGGUGGUGGCUGAGGAAACACUGUGGAGGGAUUACUAAGUGGACAGACCUGCACAGAGGUGCUCCGUUCAGCCUCUUCUUCUGUGAUGAUAGGCAACCACUUUCCAAACUACCCUCCCUGGCUGCUUCUUGAAGUUGUGGGUCUGUUCUGGCCAGUGACUUUUGAUGAGAAAGUCUCUGAAUACGAUUUUCUCUCCUUAAGGUAUGUUUACAAAAGGGCAUCCACUGUUGUCUUCUAAUAUCGUUCAAGCAUAGUGAGAGGCUUCCCUGCCAGCCAUUGUGUGAUGGUGACAGUAAAAAACCAAGACCUCCAGGGGUGGGAGAGGAAAGCAGCUGGUUUUCUCAUAAUAUAUGUGCCCGGGUAACUCUGAGAGAUCAUACGUGCUAAACAUCUUCUCGUUUGUUUGUGUUUUUAAAAUAUGUACGAGGGAUUUGUCUACAAGUAUGUCUGUGUACCAUGUGCAUGCCUGGUGCCUUCAACAGCCAGAGAAGAGCUUAGAUCCCCUAGAACUGGAGUCACAGAUUGUUCGGAGCUGCGAUGUGGGUGGUGGGACUCGGCCCAGGUUCUCUGGAAGAGCAGCCAGUGCUCUCAGCCACGGAGGCAUCUACUCAUCGCCUGCAUCUGUAUUGAAGAGAAAAUGCCAUGAAACUGCUUGGAUGUGACCGUGUAACUCACAGAGGCAAACCCCCUCAAGGGGCUGAUCAUGGGAUAUAUUCCUGAUGUCCUUUGUCGUCUUCAUGAUCUUGUGGAAAGAAUGAGCCUCCAACCUUAUUUUGCUUGACAAAUUAAACUCACUGGAAUAG